GACUAACCAAGGCAACGUUUCCCUGGGGUUUUCCUGCUUCCUUUGAGAAUCUCCAGAUACAUGUGUUUUUCCAGCCACUUCAGUUUGAGAUACACCGGAAGUAUCUCUCGCAUUCUUUAAUCCAGCAGAUUUACAAUCCAUGUCAUUCACACAAUUGAAAGUUUUUGUCCAAUCUUUAGCACUUGGCUGAGAUCUUUUACAAAGUACAUUUUGGUCUGGAAGUACAUUCUUUGAACUUGAAUGUGAUCUGACAUCACUUCCCAUAUGCAUAUUGCCUUGAUAGACCUCAACGUUUCGUAGAAGUUCAGUAUAACUCUGAGGAGGUGGUUGAGAUUUAUGAGUAGACGUUUGCACAUGGGAAAAGCCGGCAGAUUGUAUUUGAUUUUCUGCAUGAAUUUCAACGCCAAAAAUUGUCCUUUUCUUCUGGUGCUCAUUCUUGGUUUCCUUAAUGAGAGAGUGCUUGAAAAUUUCAUGACCUUGUGAUGACUGAAAGGCUUUAGGUAAAUUUUCAGCAGUUUCAAGUCUUCCAGAAGAUCUGUUAUCUAGUUGCUUUUGCUCAGCAUUAAAUU
rnacentral:misc_RNA from 1 species